rnacentral:rRNA from 1 species
ACACGGACCAAGGAGUCUAACAUGUGCGCAAGUCACUCGGUCUUGAAUAGGCCAGGGAGGCGCAAUGAAGGUAAACUAUAGUUUUCGCAAGAAAACUUUGUUACGAUCCAAACAAUUCAGUUGCAUGUGUGUAACAAUGUGUGUGACUGUUGUUUGGCGCAGUAACGGCCUGCCAAUUUCGCCUAUUGACGAUCUGGCAGAGUUAUAGCGUACACGUUGGUACCCGAAAGAUGGUGAACUAUGCCUGGGCAAGACGAAGCCAGAGGAAACUCUGGUGGAGGUCUGUAGCGAUUCUGACGUGCAAAUCGAUCGUCCGACCUGGGUAUAGGGGCGAAAGACUAAUCGAACCAUCUAGUAGCUGGUUCCUUCC